UGAGAUUGACAAAUUGCGUUUUCGUGUUUUUUGUCCUGUACCUCGACACAGUCAUUGCAUUCUGUUUAACGGGAUGUUUUCCUUGGCAUUGCGUACUCGUGCAGCACGAUCGAGAGGAAAUGUCUACAAUCUCACUUACACUUCCCCUGGCAAGCAUACGCUUGCGGUUUGGAGACAUCUGCUGGGCUGCGGCGUGCCUCGUCCUGCAAAGCCGGGGGAAGCGCGCCGCGGUCUGGUAUGGAAAGCGCGUGCCAAGUGUGUUCGCGAGACCAGCAGAGCGGCGCGGUUGGCCGGGAUGAUUUCCCCGUUCAAUCUAAUCUAGGAGAUAGGAGUGUUUUGAUGAAGGAUCGGCGAGGUGAAUUGCUAGCCGUGACUUUGAACCCCGGGUUUUCACCCGAAAAUCAGAAAACCAUUUCAUACCCAAGAAACAGGUUCCAGCUGUGCAGUCCGAGCUGCUGGUUCCAGAGGAGUAACAUACAGUUGGAAAGAAAACAAGGCGAUACGUAUAAAAGAUGACAGAGCGUCAGGUCCGUCUCCCAGAUCUGUGGACCAGAGUCCUGCAAUCCUGCCUGCCUGGAUGUGCUCAUGGCUGGAGACCCACCCCCACCGCUUCUCCUCACCCACACAGCCACAGGGUUGGCUGUGUAGAAGUCCCGCCUCCGUUUCAUCUCAUCUGUCAGAAACGAAACAAUGAGAAGGGAAGCGUUCUCACUGGACGAGCCAGGGCUGGGCAGUCUGCAGUGAGUCAGAGCAGCCUUCCCUUACCUCUGAAGAGCCCGGGGACCAGCUUGUACACGAUGUCCUGCAGCGUUUUGUCUGACCUGCAGGGGGGGACAGCACAGUCAGGGGCCACAACGGAGUGUGAAGGUCCAGGGCUCUCUCACCCCAACAAUGGGGAUUUUUGAAAUAAUCUGGCGCCCAACACAGGGCUGUGCAUGUCUAGUUCCCACCCUAAUUUGGAAUGUCCUAUUGUCACCCCAGUUGUGUUCAUGGAGCAAGCCCACAGCACGGACAGGACACAUGGGUGAGCCCACAAUGGGAUUCGUACCCCAAUAUUGGAUUCAGGACAUGAUAUUCCCACAACACUAUAAGUGGAACAAAUUUAUGUUGCAUUGAUUCAAAUCUUUGCCAUAUAUCCAUCCAUCCUUCCAUUAUUUAUACCCGCUUAUCCUAGGCAGGGUUGUGGGAUAUCCCAGCAUGCACUGGGUGAGAGGCCCACAGCCAUAUCACUUUUAUAUUAAAAUAAGUAAAUAUAAUAUAAUGGGACCAGAUGAGAGGCAGACAUGAGAGAAUUUUACAUAAUUUUAUAAAAACCACUAAAAAAAAAAAAAGCAAAGAAAAAAAGCAUGGAAGCUGAAUUCUCAAAAUGUGAUUUAUGCAUAAUUGAAUAAAUUCAAAAAAAUCGUUUUGUUCCAUUUUUUCUCCUUGAUUAUGCAGUGUGGUGAACACUGAUAAUCACAGAAAGUGGAGGAGGUUCCACAGUCCUAGCCUGUGCACAAGUACAGAUGCAGUGCAGUAUGGCGUGUUACACUCACACAAAAGUUGGCACUUGAGUAAGGCUGUCAAUCUCAAUUAGAAAUGACAUAAGCACUUAAAGAAGCAUGUCGGAUAAUCCGGUUGGUUGUUUAUGUGGGAGGCAGUUAUGCGGGCGUUUACCUUCAUGACCUAGGAAUGCGAUUCGUAUCGCCAUUGUUCCGUGUCAAGAAAUUUAAUACAACGGUAUUUUGCCUCAUGCCAAGGACCCACCCAACACAAGCGGCGUCAGUUACAGCAGAGGUUCACAUCUAGGGCGGGUUCAGCUCGGGUUUUCGAGCCAAAUCUGAGUUAUUGAAUUAGCCUGACCCUGUUUGAACUGAUAUUUCUGAUGAAGUCAUGAGAUAAACCUGCAGACUGUGUGUGUGUAUCUUUGGUGGACUUUU